rnacentral:misc_RNA from 1 species
UUUUGCCACCAUUCCACCUUUCCUGCAGCAAAAUUUACAGGGAACAUUCUCAUGAGUAGUCGUCAUAUUCGUGACUGGGAAAAGCACCAGAUUUUAUCGCAUAGAGAACAGGCAUUCAGAUUACAGAACAAAGCACUAAAUGCUCUUCCAAAGAGGUGUUAUAGGGCAGGAAAAGUUGCACACUGACAAUUUAAGAAAGUGACAUGUCACAUGGAAUCCAAAAAAGCACACUACAUAUCUUGCAAUUUAGAUGAAUUUCUGUAAGGACUAGUUUACCUAAUAACUGCUGGAAGAUUUUG